rnacentral:rRNA from 1 species
UUGUUGAUGUCGUGGGGCCUGAUGUGUGGUUCAAGUGAUGGGGUGACACAGUGUAGUAGCCAUGCCGCUUAAUGGAUUGUUGGUGUAAGCGUGUGAGGUGGUGUGUAGGUAAAUCCGCACACCGUUAAACCUGAGGCGUGAUGCGUAGCCCAAGUGUGGGUGAAGUUGGUGAUCUAGUACUGUCGAGAAAAGCCUCUAGCGAUGUGGAUGUAUGGCCCGUACCCUAAACCGACACAGGUGGUCAGGUUGAAAAUACUAAGGCGUUCGGGUGAACUGUGGUUAAGGAACUCGGCAAAAUGCCCCCGUAACUUCGGGAGAAGGGGGACCACACGACUUAAGCACUCUUUGCGAGUGUGGUGGGUUGUGGGGUCGCAGAGAAUAGAGGGAAGCGACUGUUUAUCAAAAACACAGGUCCAUGCGAAGACGUGAAGUUGAUGUAUAUGGACUGACGCCUGCCCGGUGCUGGAAGGUUAAGAGGACCGGUUAGUAGUCUUUUGGCUGCGAAGCUGAGAAUUUAAGCCCCAGUAAACGGCGGUGGUAACUAUAACCAUCCUAAGGUAGCGAAAUUCCUUGUCGGGUAAGUUCCGACCUGCACGAAUGGCGUAACGACUUCUCUGCUGUCUCAACCACAGGCCCGGUGAAAUUGCACUACGAGUAAAGAUGCUCGUUACGCGCGGCAGGACGAAAAGACCCCGGGACCUUCACUAUAGCUUGGUAUUGGUGUUCGGUUCGGUUUGUGUAGGAUAGGUGGGAGACUAUGAAGCGGCCACGCUAGUGGUUGUGGAGUCGUUGUUGAAAUACCACUCUGAUCGGAUUGGAUGUCUAACCUUGGCCCAUGAUCUGGGUUGGGGACAGUGCCUGGUGGGUAGUUUAACUGGGGCGGUUGCCUCCCAAAAUGUAACGGAGGCGCCCAAAGGUUCCCUCAGCCUGGUUGGCAAUCAGGUGGUGAGUGUAAGUGCACAAGGGAGCUUGACUGUGAGACAGACAUGUCGAACAGGGACGAAAGUCGGGACUAGUGAUCCGGCACCUACUUGUGGAUGUGGUGUCGCUCAACGGAUAAAAGGUACCCCGGGGAUAACAGGCUGAUCUUCCCCAAGAGUCCAUAUCGACGGGAUGGUUUGGCACCUCGAUGUCGGCUCGUCGCAUCCUGGGGCUGGAGUAGGUCCCAAGGGUUGGGCUGUUCGCCCAUUAAAGCGGCACGCGAGCUGGGUUCAGAACGUCGUGAGACAGUUCGGUCUCUAUCCGCCGCGCGCGUUGAAACUUGAAGAAGGCUGUCCCUAGUACGAGAGGACCGGGACGGACGUACCUCUAGUGUGCCAGUUGUUCCGCCAGGAGCAUCGCUGGUUGGCUACGUACGGAAGGGAUAACCGCUGAAAGCAUCUAAGCGGGAAGCCUGUUUUAAGAUGAGGUUUCGUAUUUGAGGUCCCCCACAGACGAUGGGGUUGAUAGGCCAGACCUGGACGCACCGCAAGGUGUGAAGGCUACUGGUACUAAUAGACCAAAACAAACACAC